GUGCUCUUUUAUUGUUGUUGAGCACCUKCCCCUUUAGUGGUCUCUGCACGACCCUGCUCACAUAGUAUGUACACAAUUUCCCCACAUAUUUUCAGUUUUAGUUUUCUAUCACUGAUAUUACUUUUAUUAUUAUUAAUAGUAAUAUUACUACAGUGUGGAAAGACAUAUUCCUGCUUUUAUAUUUGAUUUUUAAUGUUUAAAUACUAAUACAUAUGUAAACUGUAACUGUCCCGGUUUCUUCAUUUUAUUUUGAUAAAUUUGCUUGUUCUUUAUCGCCGAGCGAAAAAUGUCCCCAGAUUUAGUCUUGGAAAUUUGGUCACCUUAUCAUUGGACGCACUGGAACAGCAGCAAAGACCCAACGCUUCGUCCUCUUCCUCAACGCUGCCUGCAUGCUAAUGCAGCAGCUACGAAUAGAAUGAGACAGCCAGCUUGACUUCGUUAUCCUCCAAAUCAAAGCAACGAGUCUUCAUCACUGGGAAAUUUCCAGAUUUCUACAGAAAGGCUCAUACAGGUGACAAGAGCUCCCAACUUCCCCGCACCGCCUGGACCCAGCGCGUUUUAUCCACAGGGGGUGAGCUGCGUGAGACCCUCGCUGCCCCUCUUCUUCUUUAAUGUAUAUUUUAUUGGUUUUUUAUUUUUAUUUUGUCGUGACAUUUCACUGCGCCGAUGUGCACGCGGCCAUGCAAUGACGCACCUGCGGCUUUUGGCCGCGUUUCAGUGAUCUCAUUUCGGAUUGUUCUCAUUUUAACGGGGGAGUUUAGAGAUGGCGCACCGGAGUGUCCCGUUUUCUGACAAGUUUCCGCUGCUGUUUGGUAUGUUCGUCAUGUCCCCCCGGCUUCACGCGCUCCUCUCCGUGUAGAACCAGGCGCGGAUUCAGAAGUUGGUCGGGAAUAACAAUAAGAGGAGUGCGCAGCUCGGAGGAAGAAGAGCAGAAGGGACAGCGGCRUUCAGGGGWGCUGAGCGGCUGAAUUUACUACCAGCAUCAGCAUCUCUGUGCGAGGAAUAAAAACUGCGAGGGGGGUUCUGCUGCUGCCCACUCCCUCUUCAUCUACACACGUUUUAAUUUUUUAAACAUUUUCUGCAGUGAAUCCAGGCUUCUGGAGCCGCAGCKGAGCAAAACUUGGCCAGAUCUGGGAACAUUGUCGCCUGUUUGCGCAACCUGCUGGAUAUGCGGCUGACGGGGGGAAUUUAAUAUUAUUAUUAUUAAAAAAAAAAAAAAGAAAAAAGCAAGGGGGAUUAUUUUCAGUCCCUCGUCCAUUAUACCCUCAAAAUGGAUGCCUACGUCAGGCUUUGGGGACGCCACUGGAAAAUAGGCAUCUGAGACGCGCUUACAGGCGUUUAAAGUUUGGAUAAAUCCGAAGCAGCUGACAGGGUAGGAUGCAGUCUGGGGCCAAGACGCUGUCCGCAGGUGGAGGGGCGUCCCUCUGCUGCCUACUUCUCCUCUGGAUCAUCUACUCGCACUUGCUCAGAGAAGGCCAGUUAGUGGUGGGGACCUGUGAGAUAGUGAUGCUCAACAGAGACAGCACUGUUCCCAGACGGACAAUCGCACGGCAGACCGCGCGCUGCGCCUGUCGGAGAGGCCAGAUUGCUGGCACCAUCAGGGCGAGGCCAGCUUGUGUAGACGCACGAGUCGUGCGGAGCCGUCAGUGGUGUGAGAUGGCUCCCUGCAUGGAGGGAGAGGUCUGCAGCCUCCUGUUCAACAGAUCCGGCUGGACUUGCACCAGGGGCAGUGGUCGCAUCAAGACCGUCACGUUUCCUUUGUCUUCCUGUGGUUCUGGUAGCUCUCCUCCAGCAAUGCCCUCUUUGUUUCACCAUCAGCCGAAGCAAAAGUGGAUGGAACGUCUGUGUAGUCCUGCCAGUGUUGCUGUAAACACGAAGGCAUCACAGUGAGCUGAACACUCUGGGCUGCUCUGAAAGRAUGGCAUGUGACAGAAGAGGUCUGGAUUCUUCCAGGAAGCAGUGAAUCUUCACCGUGCAGCCUUUGCCCAAGGAGCCAUCGUAGGACAAAGGGGAAAACACCAAGGUCACAAACAUGGUUUUUCCAAAACAAAGCAGUGGCCAGUCACUAUAUCUGUAUCCAUCAUUUACCAAUGGGCCUCACAAAAUCUCCACAAGGACUGACCUCCCAGGACAAAAAAAAAGCUUCUCCAGUCACUCCAGUAACUCUUGGGAGAAUUCUGAGAAGCAUCAGCURAGCUGCUCAAUACACCAACAGCAUCAAACUUUCACCACAGACUGAUUCACCAAGUCAUCACUGAGAGAGAACAAAGUCCCUAUGAGAAACAGUUUUCAGUGGAGCAUUGACAUACUUGAACUUUGUAUGCUGUUGUGUCCUCCACCACCUGAUUUCUAAGGGAAGGAUCCUUGAAGAUCUUUUUAUUCGUACCUUUUGUGACUGGAUUCAAACUUAAGCUUCUUUUAAGAGUCAGCCAUUUUAACGUCCUUACAAUCCCCUCCAUGAAGCAGUAAUAACCCAGCCACAUUUCAUUAACAACACUUUGCUGCUAAAGAGUCGUGAUUUUACUGAGGCUGAACCAAACACUGUAGUCUGCCAGAUUAGAGCCUUUAACACCUUUCUCUCGUUUGACUUGGUGGAACUGAGGAGGACGCCGCAGGACCAUCGCUGGGAAGCAGUGUUGUCACAAAGACAACAGGAAGACGUCAUUAUCUAUGGCUCCUCGCUGAAAAGUCGGUACUAUGUGGGCGUUUUGGAUGACUUAGUGUGUGUCUUUUUUUUUAUGUGGCGCAAACAUAGCCUGGCGCAGCAGUUUUGUCAAUGAACCUGAGCAAUGUUGCCCACACCACUGGGAGUAUUUAGCAGAUAGGACCCCUGGCUCAUUUUAUGUGUUUUGGGAGACAGAGACAGUGCAUGUCUGCAUCUGUCUAUGUGUGUGAUUCUCUGCGUGCAUGCGUGAAUGCGUGUUUGUGGGCGUGUGUGUGCGUGCGUGCGUGCGUGCGUGCGCGUGUGUGAGUACAACAGGAAACACACUGUGAAAUAAGUCCUAUCCAAUGGAUUAUUCAUACUCUUGUAUAUUUUUGGGACAUGUCCAGACUAGAGCUCACCGUCUGGGGAAGAGAAUUUCACAAAAGAUCCAGUUCAUAUCCACGGUUUCACCUUUUGCUUUUUUUCCCCUCUUCCUUUAGUAUUUACAGAUAUUUUUACUGGAGUAACAAAUGGUUAAAGCUGGAUGAAGCUCACAACGGAUCAAAUCAGUUAAAUCCUCUAAUCAGUCUCUUGUUUAUGUGAUUAAUAUUAUUUCUCAAUCCUAUAGAAAUUGAUUAUAUUUUGAUAUACAUGUCCAGCUCCUUGCAGGAUGUGUUAUUUGCAGAUUUAGAUGAUAGUGUGACUUAUUUAAAAAAUGUAUGUAGGCCAAUAUAUAUCAGACAAAUAUAUUUUAUGUUAAAGGGCAGCAGAGCUGUUUGAUUUAGGUGGACACAAAAACAUAAGCACUUCUAACAAUACUCAGCCUGAACAUUCUUCUACAUUGUGAAGAUUAUUUUCUUUUCUUUUUUAAUUUCUGGCAAGAAGAUAGGAGCAGUCUGCUUUAUGAUGCUGAAGUGUUUUUGUUCAUGUGUCCAUGCUAUUUGUUUAAUUCUUUCUACUGAAAAACAUAAAAACCCUCCUUUACGUCUCCAUUAACUGUAUGCAUUCAAGGAUAUAAAUAGUGUCUGUUUCUUAAGGUGUUUAGGAUGAACUUGGUGUAUUUGUGAGAAUCGGUUUACACCACUCAAAGCCUGUGGGUUGCGACAGUUUUGUAGACUGUUCAAACAUCUGUUUAGGCUUUAUAGCUCGGUUCAAGGCGUUAUGUGUACAAAAGCUUGUAAGAAAUACAAAAUAGCAAUGAAUGAAUAGCAAAUGAAAAACUUUUUCCUAAUGGUGAAAACUGGACAUGGUGCAGUAUUAGAUUUUAACAGUAUGGUCUUCUUGAUUAACUUACACUUGUUUCACUGAAUUAUGGUAUUUAUACUAUUAUGGGAUUCAUUUCAAUAGUUUAGGAAAGUACUGAUUUGGGGGUCAGAACUGUCUACCAUCCCAUUUGACGUUGUAGCACCACCAGUCUGAUCUUCACAUAAUCCUGCUGGAUUAUUGAACCUGUUAAAAAAAUGUUAAAGACACAUGUGCCACUGUCGCAGAAUUGACAAUAUCCAACAGUUAAGGUAGUGUCCUGACUUCUCUUUCUACACUAUGCAGACCUUCUGUCUGCACUAAUGAAGAUUUACUUACCUUAGUCAGCUGAGCGCUUGGAAAAUUUCCAACUGAUGUUCUCUGGCCUACCUGAUCAUGCCAGCUAAUAAUCAUUUAAGCACUUAGGGAAAAUAAACUUUUAUCUCCAGAA